rnacentral:rRNA from 1 species
UUGGAGGGCAAGUCUGGUGCCAGCAGCCGCGGUAAUUCCAGCUCCAAUAGCGUAUAUUAAAGUUGUUGCAGUUAAAAAGCUCGUAGUUGAAUUUCGGAGUUUGUCGGUUGGUCGGGCUUCACUGUUCGCACUGGCCUGAUGGAUUCCUACCUUCUGAAUAACCAGCAUGCUAUUAAUUUAGUGCGUUGGGGAAGCAGAGCUAUUACCUUGAAAAAAUUAGAGUGCUUAAAGCAGGCUUACGCUUGAAUAGAUUAGCAUGGAAUAAUAAAAUAGGACGGCAUGGUUCUAUCUUGUUGGUUUCUAGGAUCACCGUAAUGAUUAAUAGGGAUAGUUGGGGGCAUUAGUAUUCAAUUGUCAGAGGUGAAAUUCUUGGAUUUAUUGAAGACUAACUUCUGCGAAAGCAUUUGCCAAGGAUGUUUUCAUUAAUCAAGAACGAAAGUUAGGGGAUCGAAGACGAUCAGAUACCGUCGUAGUCUUAACCAUAAACUAUGCCGACUAGGGAUCGGACGAUGUUAAUUUUUUAAUGACUCGUUCGGCGCCUUACGGGAAAC